AGCCCGCUCAGAAACUCAAAGGAAUUGACGGGGGCCCGCACAAGCGGUGGAGCAUGUGGUUUAAUUCGAUGAUACGCGAGGAACCUUACCUGGGCUCAAAUGUAUGUUGACGUAUUCUGAAAGGGAUACUUCUUCGGACAAUAUACAAGGUGCUGCAUGGUUGUCGUCAGCUCGUGCCGUGAGGUGUCGGGUUAAGUCCCAUAACGAGCGCAACCCCUACCUUUAGUUGCCAUCAGGUUAAGCUGGGGACUCUAAAGGAACUGCCUACGCAAGUAGUGAGGAAGGCGGGGAUGACGUCAAAUCAGCACGGCCCUUACGUCCAGGGCUACACACGUGCUACAAUGGCCGAUACAGAGGGCAGCUACCUGGUGACAGGAUGCAAAUCUCCAAAGUCGGUCUCAGUUCGGAUCGGAGUCUGCAACCCGACUCCGUGAAGUUGGAUUCGCUAGUAAUCGCGCAUCAGCCAUGGCGCGGUGAAUACGUUCCCGGGCCUU
rnacentral:rRNA from 1 species